GUCCGCGCCCGGGCUGAGCCCGCGGGGCCCCGGGCCCCUUCGAACCAGUCUGGGCGGGGCGGGAGGCGAAGGCGGCCCUGGUCGGCGCUCGCCGGGUGGGUUCGUGGCGCAGGCCUAGGCGGGACCCGCACCCCGCGUUUGGGGCCUCCGCAAUAUGCGGACGCCACGUCGGCGUUGUCACUGACCCAACCGGAACCCAGCCUCCUUGAGAGCGCGAGCUCUGGGGGCCACGUUUCGCGGCGGGGCACGACGAGGGUGACCGGGUAGAGAGACUUUCCAAUUCUAGCUGGCCACACAGCUCCCUUGACUAAAACCAAGUUUCUAGGACUCCCUCAGGGCUCCGCAUGAUCACAUGACUCAGUUCUAGCCAACAGGAAGUAAAUGGAGGGAUAGAGUCACCAAAGUUUGGCAAGGUAUAAACCCAUCCAUGAGAAAGACUACAUUCUCCCAGCCACUGUUACAUAAUCUGAAACUGAACCCAUGAAAUCUCCAAGGAAUGCACGUGCAGCCCUUAAUCCUGGCCAGUAGGAUGUGAGCAAAAGUGAUACAUGCUUCUUCUAGGUCAUACCUUAAGAGAAAGAAGUACGUUUAACCUUUGACAAAAUUCAACAUCCUUUCAUGAUAGGAUUGAGUAUGAUUAAGUAUGGAAGGAUCUGUUCCAUACUGACAGAUUAAGUAUGGAAGCAUUAUUCCUCAACCCACAGCUCACGUCAUACUCAAUGGUGUAAAGUUAAAAGCCUUUCCUCCUAGGAUCAGAAAUAAGACAAGGAUGCCCACUACCACCAUUUCUAUCCAACAUAGGACUGGAAGUCUUAGUCAAAUCAAUUUGGCAAGAAAAAAAUAAAUAAAUAAAAGGCAUCUAGUCAGAAUUUCAUCAGAAUGAAAUCUGUUUACAGAUCACAUGAUACAGAUCACUCUGAAGGCCACCCUGAAACUGCUAAAACUCAUAAAUGAAUUUAGUAAAGUUGCAGAUAUAAAACCAAUAUAUAAAAAUCAAUUGUAUUUCUGUACACUAACAACAAGCUAUCUAAAAGAGCAAGAAAGCAACCUAAGCUUUCUAAGUUAAUAGAUAGCUAAGCUAAUAGACAUCUAUCACUGGAGAAGGAAAUGGCAACCCAAUCCACUAUUCUUACCUGGAAAGUCCCAUGGACAGACGUGCUUGGCAGGCUACAGUUCAUGGGGUCACAAAGAGUCAGACACAACUGAGUGAGUGAGCGCACGGUAGACAUGUGUAAGCACAUUCCACACAGCAACUACAGAACACAUUCUGCUCAAGUGCCUGGGAAACACUCUGGGCGCUUAUUUGGCUGCUUCACGUCUUAGUUGCAGCACAUGGCAUCAGGCUUAGUUUCUGUGUGGCAUGUGGGGUCUUAGUUCCCCAACCAGGAAUCAAACUCACAUCCCCUGCACUGCAAGGUGGGUUCUUAACCACUGGACCAGGGAAGUCUCCCUAAAAAACAUUCUUAAGUAUAGACCAUAUGUUAGGCAAUCACAUAAAUCUUUAAAAAGUAAAAUAAUUGAAAUCAUACAAAAGCUUAUUCUCUGAUCACAAUGGAAUGAAAUUAGAAAUCAUUAACAAAAGGAAAUUUGAGGAAUUCACAAUUAUGUGGAUAUUACGCUUCCCUGUUAGUUCAGACAAUAAAGAAUUUGCCUGCAAUGCAGGAGACCUGGGUUCAAUCCCUGGGUUGGGAAGAUCCCCUGGAGGGGAAUGGCAACCCACUCUGGUAUUCUUGCCUGGAAAAUCCCAUGAACAGAGGAGCCUGGUGGUCUCAUGGGUCCAUGGGGUCUCAAAGAGUCAGACAUGACUGAGCGACUAGCACACAAACAACAUACUCCUAAAUAACUAAAAGGUCAAAGAUGAAAUCAAAAAGGAUAUUAGGAAAUAUUUUGAAAUGAAUGAAAACAAAAACACCGCAUACCAAAGUUUAUGCAACCAACACAGUGCUUAGAUGGAAAAUUAUAGCUGUAAACAUCUAUAUUUAAAAAAAAGGAAGAUCUCAAAUCAAUAACCUAACCUUGUACCUCAAGAUACUAAAAAAGAAGAGCAAACUAAACCCAACACAAACAGAAGGAAGGAAAUAAUAGAGAUUAGUGCCAAAAUAAAUGAAAUAAAAAUGUAGAAAAAAUGGAAAGAGGAAAUCAACAAAACCAAAAGCUGAUUCUUUAAAAGGAUCAACAAAAUUGACAAAUCUUUAGCUAGACUAGUAAGAAAAAAAAAGACUCAGUUUAUUAAAAUCAUUAAUAAAAAGGGCCAUUAUUUUAUUUUCAGAAAUAAAAAAGAUUAUAGCAAAAAAGAAAGCAAUCUCAUUUACAAUAGCAUCCAAAUAAUUAAAUAAACCAAGGAGGUAAAAGACCGGUACACUGAGAAGUAUAAGACAUUGAUGAAAGAGCCUAAAGAGGAUACAAGAAAAAAAAAGGGAAGGAAAAGAAGAAGACACAAAUAAAUGGAAAGAUAUUCCAUGUUCCUGGAUUGGAAGAAUUAAUAUUGUGAAAAUAUCCAUUCUACCCAAAGGAAUUUACAGACUCAGUGUAAUCCCUAUCAAAUUUCUAAUGGCAUUUUUAGAAUACCUUUUAGGGAAACCUAUCGUAAAACCCUAAAUAGCCAAAGAAAUCCUAAAAAAGAACAAAUCUAGAGGCAUCACACUUUCUGAUUUUGCACUGUAGGGAACAUUCCAUGCAAAGAUGGGCACAAUUAAGGACAGAAAUGGUAUGGACCUAACAGAAGGAGAGAUAUUAAGAAGACGUGGCAAGAAUACACAGAAGAUCUAUACAAAAAAGAUCUUCAUGACCUAGAUAACCACUAUGGUGUGAUCACUCACCUAGAGCCAGACAUCCUAGAAUGCGAAGUCAAGUGGGCCUUAGGAAGCAUCACUACGAACAAAGCUAGUGGAGGUGAAUUCCAGUUGAGCCAUUUCAAAUCCUAAAAGAUGAUGCUGUGAACAUGCUGCACUCAAUAUGCCAGCAAAUUUGGAAAACUCAGCAGCGGCCACAGGACUGGAAAAGGCCGUUUUCAUUCCUAUCCCAAAGAAAGGCAAUGCCAAAGAAUGCUCAAACUACCACUCAUUUGCACUCAUCUCACAUGCUUGCAAAGUAAUGCUCAAAAUUCUCCAAGCCAGGCUUCAACAAUAUAUGAACUUCCAGAUGUUCAAGCUGGAUUUAGAAAAGGCAAAGGAACCAGAGAUCAAAUUGCCAACAUCCGUUGGAUCAUCGAAAAAGUGAGAGAGUUCCAGAAAAACAUCUGCUUUAUUGACUAUGCCAAAGCCUUUGGCUGUGUGGAUCACAACAAACUGUGGAAAAUACUUCAAGAAAUGGAAAUACCAGACCACCUGACCUGCCUCCUGAGAAAUCUAUAUGCAGGUCAAGAAGCAACAGUUAGACCUGGACUUGGAACAACAGAUUGGUUCCAGAUCGGGAAAGGAGUACGUCAAGGCUGCAUAUUGUCACUUGCUUAUUUAACUUAUAUGCAGAGUACAUCAUGUGAAAUGCCAGGCUACAUGAAGCACAAGCUGGAAUCAACAUUGCUGGGAGAAAUAUCAAUAACCUCAGAUAUGCAGGUGACACCACCCUUAUGGCAGAAAGUGUAGAGGAACUGAAAAGCCUCUUGAUGAAAGUGAAAGAGGAGCGUGAAAAAGUUGGCUUAAAACUCAACAUUCAGAAAACUAAGAUCAUGGCAUCUGGUCCCAUCACUUCUUGGCAAAUAGAUGGGGAUUUCCCUAAUAGAAACAGUGAAAGACUUUAUUUUCUGGGGCUCCAAAAUCACUGCAGAUGGUGACUGCAGCCAUGAAAUUAAAAGAUGCUUGCUCCUUGGAAGAAAAACUAUGACCAACCUAGAUAGCAUAUUAAAGCAUCAGAGACUACUUUGCCAACAAAGGUCAGUCUAGUCAAAGCUUUGGUUUUUUCAGUAGUCAUUUAUGGAUGCAAGAGUUGAACUAUAAAGAAAGUUGAAUGCCAAAGAAUUGCUGCUUUUGAACUGUGGUGUUGGAGAAGACUCGAGAGUCCCCUGGACAGCAGGGAGAUCCAACCAGUCAAUCCUAAAGGAAAUCAGUCCUGAAUAUUCAUUGGAAGGACUGAUGUUGAAGCUGAAGCUCCAAUAUUUUGGCCACCUGAUGUGAAGAGCUGACUCAUUGGAAAAGAUCCUGAUGCUGGGAAAGAUUGAAGGCAGGAGGAGAAGGGGACGACAGAGGAUGAGAUGGUUGGAUGUCAUCACCAACUCAAUGGACAUGAGUUUGAGUAAGCUCCAGAAGUUGGUGAUGGACAGGGAAGCCUGGCAUGCCACAGUCCAUGGGCUCCCAAAGAAUCGGACAUGACUGAGCGACUGAACUGACGGACUGAAUGUUUGUGGUGAUCCACACAAAGGCUUUUGCAUAGUCAAUGAAAAGGAAAUAGAGGUUUUUCUGGAAUUCCCUUGCUUUCUCUAUGAUCCAAUGGGUGUUGGCAAUUUGAUCUCUAGUUCCUCUGCCUUUUCUAAACCUAGCUUGUACAUCUGGAAGUCCUCAGUUUACAUAUUGCUGAAGCCUAGCUUGAAGGAUUUUGAGCAUAAAAUGAGUGCAAUUGUACAAUAGUUUGAACAUUCUUUGGCACUGCCCUUCUUUGGGAUCAGAAUAAAAACUCACCUUUUCCAGUCCUGUGGCCAUCAGCAAAAGGUUUUGUAGCCUCAGCUCUGGGGGCUUAAUUCAGAGCUCUUUUGUCUUCUUCAAAAUGUUGGUACUGACCUGUUUGGGAUCCUAUAACAUCAUAUUUCUGUAACUCUGUUUUACCCCAUAAAGUGAGGGGUAGGAUCAAGAUUUUAACUCAUUGAGUCUAUGGUGGGAGUAUUUCAAGUAGGAAAUGGAACCAGCGUGUCUUGCUGGAUGUAGAGAGUAGUUUGAGGCAUUAUUUGUUGGAAAGAAGCUCUGCCAGGAGAGGAGUUUCCAGAGACCUGGCCUCUGCCUCUGGCUACUCCGUGACCUCUCCCAUUCUAAAUAUGGCUGGGCCAGCCCUGAGCAUGUACUUGUGUAAUGAGAAGGUUCUCUCGCCAACUCUUUGGUUCCUCUGAAUCAAGAGAGACAGGAUAAGUGCUCAUUUCUUUUUUUCUUUCCCAGGUUUUAAAAUGAAUUAAUUUUCCAGUAUCAUCCAAAGACUUUUUAAUUUUUUUUUUUAGCGUUUAAAAAUUUUUAAAGGAUUGUUGUGAACUUAUGAAUUUAAACAUAUCUUAUAUGUUCUAAUCCAUCUUAACUAAAGAUGCUCAUGUUGUCCCAUCUUUUGCAAGAAAGAACCCUUCACGGUAGAUCUUGAGUCCUUUCUUUCUACAAGCCUUCAGCGGUUUUGGAGCACUUGCUUGAUAACUGAUAUGACAAGAUAUUCCAGGUGAGCUUGUACACAUUCUUUGCCCUAAGCUUGUAAUCAGCCAUUUCUUUGAUGUUGGAAGAUGACAGUGUGGGCUUAUCUGCUGGACGGAGGAGCCUGGUAGGCUGCAGUCCAUGGGGUCGCUAGGAGUCAGACACGACUGAGGGACUUCACUUUCAAUUUUCACUUUCAUGCAUUGGAGAAGGAAAUGGCAACCCACUCCAGUGUUCUUGCCUGGAGAAUCCCAGGGACGGAGGAGCCUGGUGGGCUGCCGUCUCUGGGGUCGAACAGAGUCGGACAUGACUGAAGCAACUUAGCAGCAGCAGAAGAGUUUUUUCAUGUUUCUGGACUGAACACCAUACUAACUAGGGCAUGGGUGUCUCUUAUCUAGCUCUUAAACAGAUGCUCUAUUCAAGGCUUAAGAUAUAGAUGAGGAACAUUCCUUAUACUUCUCUAACAUACCACAGUUGUUUCUCAAUUUAAGCCAGUGUUUUCCACCUUGACUGCACACUAUAACCCCUAGGAAGCUUUUUAAAAAAUACUGGAUCCAUCCUGGAUGCACACCCAGAAAUUCUGGUUUAACUGGAGUAGGGUCUGGCCUGGGCAUUAGUUGUAAAAGUGUGAAGCAACCGGGUGGUGCACAGCCCUGGCUACACAGUUUAUCAUUCCAUAUGUGUUUUUACACUUUACUUCAUAUGUAUGAAGCUUUAAACAUUACUGUUGGUCAGUCUUAAAAUUUUAUGUAAAUUGUGUGCUACUGAGUAUAGCCUUGGGAAGCUUGGUUUUUACCUAAGAUUGUUUUUAUGCAUCUCAGUUGAUACUUAGACCCCUGGUUCAUUCAUCCCAACUAUUGUGUUAACAGCUUAUUAAAACCUUACUUCUACACCAUCAUUUUCUGCUCUCUUU
ensembl:lncRNA